GACGGACGCUGGCGGCAUGCCUAAUACAUGCAAGUCGAGCGAACAGAUGAAGUGCUUGCACUUCUGACGUUAGCGGCGAACGGGUGAGUAACACGUAAGGAAUCUACCUAUAAGCGGGGGAUAACAUUCGGAAACGGGUGCUAAUACCGCAUAAUAUCUUCUUCCGCAUGGAAGAAGAUUGAAAGACGGCUCUGCUGUCACUUAUAGAUGACCUUGCGGUGCAUUAGUUAGUUGGUGGGGUAGUGCCUACCAAGACGAUGAUGCAUAGCCGACCUGAGAGGGUGAACGGCCACAUUGGGACUGGGACACGGCCCAAAGUCCUACGGGAGGCAGCAGUAGGGAAUCUUCCGCAAUGGGCGAAAGCCUGACGGAGCAAUGCCGCGUGAGUGAAGAAGGCCUUCGGGUCGUAAAACUCUGUUAUAAGAGAAGAACAAAUUGUAGAGUAACUGCUACAGUCUUGACGGUAUCUUAUCAGAAAGCCACGGCUAACUACGUGCCAGCCGCCGCCGUAA
rnacentral:rRNA from 1 species